CUAUANUGCAGUCGAGCGAUCGANNGGAGCUUGCUCCCUGAGAUUAGCGGCGGACGGGUGAGUAACACGUGGGCAACCUGCCUAUAAGACUGGGAUAACUUCGGGAAACCGGAGCUAAUACCGGAUACGUUCUUUUCUCGCAUGAGAGAAGAUGGAAAGACGGUUUACGCUGUCACUUAUAGAUGGGCCCGCGGCGCAUUAGCUAGUUGGUGAGGUAAUGGCUCACCAAGGCGACGAUGCGUAGCCGACCUGAGAGGGUGAUCGGCCACACUGGGACUGAGACACGGCCCAGACUCCUACGGGAGGCAGCAGUAGGGAAUCUUCCGCAAUGGACGAAAGUCUGACGGAGCAACGCCGCGUGAACGAAGAAGGCCUUCGGGUCGUAAAGUUCUGUUGUUAGGGAAGAACAAGUACCAGAGUAACUGCUGGUACCUUGACGGUACCUAACCAGAAAGCCACGGCUAACUACGUGCCAGCAGCCGCGGUAAUACGUAGGUGGCAAGCGUUGUCCGGAAUUAUUGGGCGUAAAGCGCGCGCAGGUGGUUCCUUAAGUCUGAUGUGAAAGCCCACGGCUCAACCGUGGAGGGUCAUUGGAAACUGGGGAACUUGAGUGCAGAAGAGGAAAGUGGAAUUCCAAGUGUAGCGGUNAA
rnacentral:rRNA from 1 species